rnacentral:rRNA from 1 species
GUGGGGAAUUUUGGACAAUGGGCGCAAGCCUGAUCCAGCCAUGCCGCGUGCAGGAUGAAGGCCUUCGGGUUGUAAACUGCUUUUGUACGGAACGAAAAGACUUCUUCUAAUACAGGAGGUCCAUGACGGUACCGUAAGAAUAAGCACCGGCUAACUACGUGCCAGCAGCCGCGGUAAUACGUAGGGUGCAAGCGUUAAUCGGAAUUACUGGGCGUAAAGCGUGCGCAAGCGGUUAUAUAAGACAGAUGUGAAAUCCCCGGGCUCAACCUGGGAACUGCAUUUGUGACUGUAUAGCUAGAGUACGGUAGAGGGGGAUGGAAUUCCGCGUGUAGCAGUGAAAUGCGUAGAUAUGCGGAGGAACACCGAUGGCGAAGGCAAUCCCCUGGACCUGUACUGACGCUCAUGCACGAAAGCGUGGGGAGCAAACAGGAUUAGAAACCCUUGUAGUCC